rnacentral:tRNA from 2 species
GCGCCCUUAGCUCAAUUGGAUAGAGCGUCUGGCUACGGACCAGGAGGCUGGGGGUUCGAGUCCUCCAGGGCGCG